UACAGAGACUGCAAGCGUUAUUCGGAUUCACUGGGCGUAAAGGGUGCGCAGGCGGCCAAGUGUGUGAGGCGUGAAAGCCCGGGGCUUAACUCCGGAAUUGCACCUCAAACUACAUGGCUAGAGCAUUGGAGAGGGUAGCGGAAUUCACGGUGUAGCAGUGAAAUGCGCAGAUAUCAGGAGGAACACCGAUGGCGAAGGCAGUGUUCUGGGCCAGUACUGACGCUGAGGAGCGAAAGCGUGGGUAGCAAACAGG
rnacentral:rRNA from 1 species